UACGUAGGGUGCGAGCGUUGUCCGGAAUUAUUGGGCGUAAAGAGCUUGUAGGCGGUCUGUCGCGUCUGCUGUGAAAAUCCGGGGCUCAACCCCGGACUUGCAGUGGGUACGGGCAGACUAGAGUGUGGUAGGGGAGACUGGAAUUCCUGGUGUAGCGGUGAAAUGCGCAGAUAUCAGGAGGAACACCGAUGGCGAAGGCAGGUCUCUGGGCCACUACUGACGCUGAGGCGCGAAAGCCAGGGGAGCAAACGGG
rnacentral:rRNA from 1 species